UACGUAGGCAGCGAGCGUUGUUCGGAGUUACUGGGCGUAAAGGGUGUGUAGGCGGUUGUUUAAGUUUGGUGUGAAAUCUCCCGGCUCAACUGGAGGGUGCGCCGAAUACUGAAUGACUUCGAGUGCGGGAGAGGAGAGUGGAAUUCCUGGUGUAGCGGUGAAAUGCGUAGAUAUCAGGAGGAGCACCGGUGGUGUAGACGGCUCUCUGGACCGUAACUGACGCUGAGACACGAAGCGUGGGUAGCAAACAGG
rnacentral:rRNA from 1 species